rnacentral:lncRNA from 1 species
UUUUUCCAGCUCUGGGUGGAGAUUGAGGUAUGAUAGAAAAGGAGCAGGAUGAAGGUGGCAGAAGGAGGAGAGGAUGGAGGUCAGACAGCAACAAAAUGAUAGGUAGUGUCUGAGUGAGGAGUUAGGUUCUGAAAGGGAACUCCCAAGCACAGCUGCCUUGAAACAAGAUGUGGCAAAGUCAUGGAGCCCAGGUCAAUGUCUAUGGCUGUGGAGCCAGGGGUUAUGAAGGUAAAAGGGCUUCCAUUAUCACUCUCAGAACAUGUGUCUCUCUUCUGAGCGUCCCAGGGGGAACUGGCUGGUGCUCCAGACAGAAGGCAGGAAGUGAUGGGCAUGUUCUUGCUGUGACUCAGUCAGGUGGUUCACACUGCUGACCACUGCAGACAAGGAAAGAGAGGACAGGGAUCCUGUAGUUUUACUAGUUGGGUGAUCAAGAAAAGAGGGCUCCUGUACUUUUAAUAGUUGUGUGGAAAAGAAAAGAGGGCUCCUGUACCUUUAAUAGCUGUGGAAAAGAAAAGAGGGCUCCUGUACCUUUAAUAGUUGUUUGGAAAAGAAAAGAGGGCUCUUGUACCUUUAAUAGUUGUUUGGAAAAGAAAAGAGGGCUCCUGUACUUUUAAUAGUUGUGUGGAAAAGAAAAGAGGGCUCCUGUACCUUUAAUAGUUGUGUGGAAAAGAAAAGAGGGCUCCUAUACCUUUGAUAGUUGUGUGGAAAAGAAAAGAGAGCUUCUGUACCUUUAAUAGUUGUUUGGAAAAGAAAAGAGGGCUCUCGUACCUUUAAUAGUUGUUUGGAAAAGAAAAGAGGGCUCUUGUACCUUUAAUAGUUGUUUGGAAAAGAAAAGAGGGCUCCUGUACCUUUGAUAGAUGGUGGACAAACAGGAGGGCGACCCCGUACCUUUAAUAGCUGUGUGUAAGAAGGAAUUUCAGGAGACCCAGCUUGCAUGACAAGCUACAGUUGUUAAAAUUCCUUCUUCUGACACAACUCUGAAAGGUACAGAAAUGAUGGUGUCUUGUUCAUUGAACUCACUGGUGGAAAAGGAGGGGGGAUGUGCAGUGCGCAAAUGGAGCAGAAGGGUUAGAAAAGAUGACUGGAUGUUUUAGAGGCACCCACUCCAUCACCGCGUCCACGCUCAGCUACCGUCGCAGAGGUUAGAGGGUGGGGCAAGAGGUCAGCUUGGUCGGGGAGGGGGCAUGUUGGUGGAUGCUGUACCUCAACAUUUUAAAAAAUGACAAAAAUAUUGUAAAAAAAACUUUAUUGCAAGCAAAACAAACCACCUUGUCUUCCAUCUCAUGCGGCCCGUUGAGGGUCAUGCCCAUUGCAGGGGAGUCGUGCCCAUCCCCAGAGAGGUAGGAUUCGAACAGGCCUCAAGCCAAAGGGGCUCGAAUCCCACCUCCUGGAGGGAUGACUUUGUGGCUGAAUUCCUGAGUCUUUGGGUUAUUUUUUUAAUUUAUUUAUUAUUUUUGCCAAAUCCAUAAGGAAAAAAUAAAAUAAAAAUUAAAGUACUAAAAAAAUCUUUC